AUUCCCGCCCAUAUUUAUGUUCCGAGAGGGAUCCAAGUACUUGAUCCGGAGUAGGUCCGCUGAAUCAGCUUUUUGGAAUCUUCAUUCGUGGAAAACCCGAGUCGGAGUUUAAAAUCGGAGACCAAUACAAUUGUUCUCAAUUGGUCUUUUCUCCGACAAAUACAAUUUGUUGCAGAGGCAUUUCUUUUUCACUUUGCAGCCACUCGAAGCGUGCUGCUGGUGCCGGCAUCCGCUUCAGCUCUUGACUUGUCAUAGAUGCGGGUCCAUAAAGGCCAAAGCGCACAUGUUUACAAUCUGAAAUCAUUUGUUUGCCGCGAAAUUGCUUGGAAUGUGUGAAAUGCUCCGUGCUCCCGAUCAACCUUCACUGAAAACCAUUGCUAUGGUUGAUCCUCCUGCAAAGUUUGUAUCGAGCGAAACAUACAUAUUAUAACCGAGACUGUCUUGAGGUUAUUUCCCCGAUGACAGAUGUCUGUUGCGGAUGAUAUCUAAGGAAAGCCAUUCCAAGGCAAUGAAAUUAAUGUGGAGGGCGCUGGCGGAGAAGGGUCCAAUUGAGCGCAGCACAAUUUACUUCGACUGCAGCGACCAAUUUAGAGAUUGUUGAACUCACGCAAGCCCGGCUGUGGCUGUCCGGUUCGAAGGGUCUAAUCUACGCCUCGAGAUCUCAAUCUUGCGAACGCAUGUGUGCCGCCUAAGAACUGGGUCUGCUGUG